rnacentral:pre_miRNA from 1 species
GUUUGAAUAUCCAUGGUGACCAUCACAAAGUGAAGCACUGAUUAUUUAAUACAAGGAGUAAGUGCUUCUCUUUGGGGUAGUCUAAAUGG